rnacentral:rRNA from 1 species
AUUGAACGCUGGCGGCAUGCCUUACACAUGCAAGUCGAACGGCAGCGGACCUUCGGGUGCCGGCGAGUGGCGAACGGGUGAGUAAUAUAUCGGAACGUACCUUUCAGUGGGGGAUAACGUAGCGAAAGUUACGCUAAUACCGCAUAUUCUGUGAGCAGGAAAGCAGGGGGUCGCAAGACCUUGCGCUGAUUGAGCGGCCGAUAUCAGAUUAGCUAGUUGGUGAGGUAAAGGCUCACCAAGGCGACGAUCUGUAGCGGGUCUGAGAGGAUGAUCCGCCACACUGGAACUGAGACACGGUCCAGACUCCUACGGGAGGCAGCAGUGGGGAAUUUUGGACAAUGGGCGCAAGCCUGAUCCAGCCAUGCCGCGUGAGUGAAGAAGGCCU